rnacentral:rRNA from 1 species
UUAAAUAGCCGCAGUAUUUUGACUGUGCGAAGGUAGCAUAAUCAUUUGUCUUUUAAUUGAAGGCUUGUAUGAAUGGUUGGAUGAGGGAAUUUCUUUCUUUGUAUUAAAUAUUGAAUUUAAUUUUUUAGUUAAAAAGCUAAAAUUUUAUAAUGGGACGAGAAGACCCUAUAGAAUUUUAUUUAUUAUUUUGUAUAAGAUUAUUUUGGUUAUAUAUUUAUUUUAUAGAUUAAUAAAUUUUGUUGGGGCGACAGUGAAAUUUUAUUAACUUUCAUAAUUUAUUGUUUACUAAUUUGUAUUUUUAAAGAUCCUAUUUUAAGGAUAUUUAGAUUAAAUUACCUUAGGGAUAACAGCGUAAUUUUUCUGGAGAGUUCUUAUUGAUGGAGAAGUUUGCGACCUCGAUGUUGGAUUAAAAUUAGAUUUAAGUGUAGCAGCUUAUUUUCUAGGUCUGUUCGACCUUUAAAUUUUUACAUGAUCUGAGUUCAAACCG